GGUGAAUGAGAAUGUGGAUUCUGCUUGAGAUCAGAAGACCUGAUAAGCCUCAAGUGUUUACUCUUGCACCAGGAUUGUCCAGGCUCCUCCAGGAGAAAAGCCCUCUGUCUGCAAGGAGUUCGGGAAGCCCGCAAUGCGAUGCACUGUCAGCUCUGCUGGCCGAGGAGCUCUCCACAGCCAGCUCACUGCCCCUGGCGGGGCCUUUUCCUAUGACUCUCCACACUUUCUUGUUUGCUGGACACCUGAUGCCUACACUUCCAACAGCUGCUUGUUUGCGAGGGAGCUCUCUCUCCCAGGAGUUCCCAGAAAGGGUGUCCAGAUAUUAGAGGGAAUGGCUGGUGCUCCUGGGAACGCCUGAAGAAAGAAAGAUCUUGUGUUCUUCAACAGAGCAAGAGGGUGGGACUGGACGCCCUCUUGUAUAGACAAGAUCCAUGAUGACCACGAUGGUUGCUAGUCAAGCCCUGGAACUGAGGUCUCCUGAUGCCCAGCUGUAAACAGUUCUUUGAGCUUGUCUGGAGGCCAUGAUUCCAAAGUCAGAAACCCAUAACCCACUUGCAGUCCUGUGGGAACCAACAUAUCGAGUCUAUCAGCCGGCGAAAUGACAUCAUAGGAGCUGAGAACUUGGACCGUUUGGGCUUCUAGCUAUCUGCUCUUACAUUCUGCCGCAUUUCACAUUCCCGUGGAUGUUCAGCCUACAAAACUGUGCAACGGUGAUUGGACAUGAAUCCUCUGCACAGCCCUUCACGGGGUGGACGUGCCGUGAGACCAUGAUUUAUUGAGCCAUCCCGAGUGAUGGACGCUUGGCUGUUUCUCAUCUUCUCCUGCUGUAAUAAAUUAUGCUGCAGUGAAUAACCUUGUCAAUAUGUCACUUCACGUGCUUGCAAGACUAUCUGUAGGAGAAGCCCCCAGAAGAGGAAUUACCGGGUUAACUGGCACGUGCAAUAUUUGUAAUUUUCAUAGAUAUUACCAAAUAGAUAUUACCUGCCCCUCCAGGGGGUCUCCCCCAAAUAACGAAUGUGGAGCUUGUUUCUCCACAAUCUCUACGACAGAGCAGAUAAACUCCUGGCUUUUGGCCAACUUGAUAGAUUGACAAUAUCUCAGUGUAAUUUUCAUUUGCGUUUCUCUUCUUAUGAAUAAGGUCAAGCAACUGUGCGUAUAUUUAAGGGCCAUUUAUGUUUCCUUUGCUAAGAAGUGUC
rnacentral:lncRNA from 1 species